rnacentral:rRNA from 1 species
ACGGAAGGCAGCAGUAGGGAAUAUUGCACAAUGGGGGAAACCCUGAUGCAGCAACGCCACGUGUGGGAAGAAGCAUUUCGGUGUGUAAACCACUGUCGUGAGGGAAUAGGGCAUUGUUUCGGCGAUGUUGAAUGGACCUCGAAAGGAAGCACCGGCAAACUUCGUGCCAGCAGCCGCGGUAAUACGAGGGGUGCAAGCGUUGUUCGGAAUCACUGGGCGUAAAGGGAGCGCAGGCGGAGAUGCAAGCGGACUGUACAACCCCGGGGCCCAACCCCGGACCUGCAGUCCGGACUGCACCUCUUGGAUAGGUCAGGGGCAAGCGGAAUUCCUGGUGUAGCGGUGGAAUGCGUAGAGAUCAGGAAGAACACCGAUGGCGAAGGCAGCUUGCUGGGGACUUAUCGACGCUCAUGCUCGAAAGUGCGGGUAGCAAACAGGAUUAGAUACCCUGGUA